rnacentral:lncRNA from 1 species
UUUCUUUCAGAGCCACCUACAAGAAGGCUCGACAAGUCUUCUGCUCAUACUUCUCUUGGAAAAAAAAAAUUUAUACUUAGGAGACAUGACCAAAAGUUGCAGCAAUUGUCUUGGAGACUAGAUUUUGGAGCUGCUAAAAACAUUUCAAAUGUCUGUAAAUUGCUUGUGAAGUUGAAGUAAUCAAUUCAAUAACAGUAGGUGCUGGCAGUGCCCUUGGCUUGUUUUUGUAGUGUUUCAGGGUAGGUGUGGAGAAGAGGGGAUAUCACACACAGAGGCACCACUUAAACCCUGUAUGCAGCUCUGUAUUUCCCCUGAUGAUUGUGCAUGAACCUCAAACUGACUCCAGAAAAUUACAACAGCAGCUCAUCAGUUAAACUCGGUUUCCUGCCAUGACAAAGAACUGAACAGUCAUAACCAAAGGAAGAAAAUUUUGAGCUAUUUUGGGACAAAAAACAGGCAGUGUGGCUUUUUUAAUGAGAAAGGCAUCUUCCAGUGAAGGAAACAGACUUUUAUGACAGAGCUGUGGAGCUGUUGUUUCUGUGGAAGACAGUUUCAGGCUGCAUUUCUAUUUAAUUGGCAUCAAGCCCAACAUCGAGCCCACCUUCAGAGUUACACUUUCUUCUGAGUUUUAAUUUGUACUUAAAACUAUGCUGCAGUGACUGAACUUCAUAUUCCCUCACCUACUGCUGUUUGCCUCAGAAGGAACCGCACUCACUCAGGUGCCCUCACCAGGCUGUUCCUCUCCUGGCUCCUCACCAAGUCUCUUCUGCUUCACUGCCAGCACUGCAGCUGAGGGGACAAACCCAGUCAGCAAGCUAGCAGACAAUUGGCACAAAGAUAAAGGUGGUUUAAGACAGAAGCUUACUGGGCACAUAAAAGAGAAAAAAAUUUGCUCUCUUGAGUCUCAUCCUUUAUCUCAAUCUCUCAGUUGCUCUUCAGCUGGACAGUAUUUCAUAGGUUAUCAUGAGUUCUAGGCUCCUCGCUGGCAUAGAGCCAUCCUCAUUUGAGGAUACUCAACAUACAGAGCCUCGCUGUACUGAAGUCUUUCUCAUAAACCGAAGAAGCUGCAUGAAAAUAUCUAGAGAUUUCUGGUAAGACAUCUGCCAAGACUUCUAGAUUCCAUUUAAGCAAGAAGUCUUAUUCCUGGUUCAGUGCCCUACUUGC